rnacentral:tRNA from 1 species
GCCUCGGUGGCUCCGAGGCGAGAGCGCCGGGCCUACGGACCCCCAGGUGGCGGGUUCAAAUCCCGACCGAGGUG